AAGAGGGAAAAAAAAAGAAGAAGAGGAAGAAGUAGGAAAAUACCGAAAAAGCCCUGGGACGAUCUCCUCCUUCCAUUCGUUUUCUUCGUCGUUCGCUCCGCGACUUCGGAUCGAUCGGAUCCUUUGAUCCCCGAUCGAUGGCGGAAAAUCCGCGAAGCGAAGCGCGAAUCGAUCGCGCACGGCGCUCGACGCGGGAAGGGAAACCACUUCGAUCCGAUCAUCCUCGAACCGAUCGCGGGCUUCGGGCGCAGUCCAUGGCGGCGAUUCCGGUGCUGUACGUUGCGACUCCUCUCUUCUACUUUGCUCGGUGAUGUCUGUUGCUGCCUGCAUCCGAGAAAUCCGGGAUCUUCUCUCUCUGUCCGUCGCCGCGUUUCCUUGUGUAGCUAGGUUUCGAUCAAUGUCGGAAAGGUGCAUUUGGCUGAGGAAAUCGAUGCGUGUAGAUACGUGAUUCCCAACCGUUACUUAGGAGUUUGCGUUGCAGCUUUGCGAGCAGUCCUUUCAACCGAUACCGGAGUUAUCCGCGGCUGUAGAAUGAAAGAUUGUGAGGGCUCUCUGCUCUGGACUUCGACUCAUGGUUGUAGCAAGAUGCCAGUCGCUUUUUUAUGGUUAAGAGAAUGGUAGGAAGGAGCAAACUUGUCUGUCGGUGUUAUCACGGGAGUUUCGGGAAAGCCGGCAGGACAAUGACGGGUUGGAGAUGGAGGGACUUCUCUUCUCUUCAAAGAAUAAAAGUUCUGUGACGUGUGCCUUUAGUUUGAGAUUCUUCUGCAAGGUUGCAGAAGAUGAGUUGUUUGUUCCGUUUGGGGCUCUGAUCGGAGAUGCCGGUUAAACAGACUUUCCUACACAAUCAGGUAACCGAUAGAUUUUCCAGCUCCAGAAGUGCUCUUGGGAGGCAGCGCAUCAAAUCAAUUAGUUAAUUCAAGAGUUCCAUUCUUUGAGGUGCUUAUCCAAUUGAACUGGCUUUGGAAGCAAUGAAAAGAACCAAACUGUAUCAUUUCAUUCUGCCUGGUUAGGCUCCCGUUUGUCUAGUUUAUGACUCAAAAUUCACUGAUAUGCUCUAUGGCAGCUUCUUGUUUUCUUGUUUUCUUUUUCCCCAAUGUCUUGACUCAAAUCAUUGCCUAGUGAAUAUUUUUUCCUCACCUUUGUGUUGCUGAACCAAUUUUCAGAACUCAACUGAAGAUGUAGAUACGUCACACCAGAACAUUCCCUUUUGAAGAGCAACUACAAACCCAAUGACUUCUUUGGGAUUACUUAUACUCAAUUCAUAGUUCAAUUUUUGAUCAUUGUCACAAUGGGCGAUGGGUGAAAAUGGAAAAUUGCUCUGCAUAAAUCAAGGUGAUGAAUGGAAGUUGAAGUAGGAUGGAGCUGGUUACCGGUGAACAGCUAACAGCUUAUGCCCUUUAAGAGUUCAUAUUGAGAUCAUCUUCCGGUAGAAUUAUCCGUACAGAAGCAGAUUUCCAUACCAAAAGUCCAUAGAUGCGCACAGCACAGCACGCUCACCCAUACUGUUUUAUUCCACGACCUCAAAACAGUUGCUUUGAUUUUUUCUGUUUUAUAUAUUUAUUCGUCUGGUUAUUCUGGCUACGGGUUCUCUUCUUUUGCCUAUGCAAGAUUAUAUUUGUCUUUAUGAUGCUCUGUCUGCUUGCUAUCUGCAGGAGUUUUGGUUGAAAUUGGGUUCUGGGUAGGGGAUGAUGUUGGAGGACUGAAAGUGACCCGCCUUGCCUUUCAGUUGGUUCACCGGGCAUAUACUCAAAUCUCAUCAAGUCGUUAUCGAAUUAGAAGCCUGUCUUUCAACUCUGGACUCGUGCAGCGCAAGAAAGGAGAUUCUUCAUCAAGUGGAGCUCAACCUCGCAAGUCAUUCUAACCCGAAGUGUAGGUGGAAGAAAUGCUUUUUAGUUCCGUUUUGGGGUAAAAGAAGAAUGAUAGGUGGAGAUGGAGACACUCACGUUAAAAACACCGGGUGUGUCGAUGUCUCAAUAAUUCCCAUCGCAGCAAUUCAUUCACACGGGAGGUGGUGAUGUUAACGUGCGUGAUUUAACCCCCAUCCCAUCUCUCUCUCUCUCUCUCUCCCCUACGCAGUUUUGCAGACACUACCCCCAUUGGAAAUCUCCAUUGGCUGGCUCAACUUUAGGACAAAAGGGUCAUAUCCAGCGUGAGCGAAUUUGACAUCCCCUCAAAGAGCAACAUCGUCAGUGGCGUUUGGUCGUUUUGCCAGAGGGAGGCAUCAUAACUUUUAAUUAUACGGGAAAAAGAAAAGCUUUUUCCCUUGUUCUUGAAAAGUACACCUGGAAUCUUUCUUCACUGAAACCCAAGGCCGCUCCUGAGGAUGCUUACUCAAGCAUGACCUCUCCCUGAAAUCAAUUUUCAUUUAUCUUUUUC